GACGAACGCUGGCGGCGUGCUUAACACAUGCAAGUCGAACGGAAAGGCCCUGCUUUUGUGGGGUGCUCGAGUGGCGAACGGGUGAGUAACACGUGAGUAACCUGCCCUUGACUUUGGGAUAACUUCAGGAAACUGGGGCUAAUACCGGAUAGGAGCUCUUGCUGCAUGGUGGGGGUUGGAAAGUUUCGGCGGUUGGGGAUGGACUCGCGGCUUAUCAGCUUGUUGGUGGGGUAGUGGCUUACCAAGGCUUUGACGGGUAGCCGGCCUGAGAGGGUGACAGGCCACAUUGGGACUGAAAUGCGGCCCAGACUCCUACGGGAGGCAGCAGUGGGGAAUAGUGCACAAUGGGCGGAAGCCCGAUGCAGCAACGCCGUGUGCGGUAUGACGGCCUUCGGGUUGUAAACCACUUUCGCCUGUGACGAGGCGUGAGUGACGGUAAUGGGUAAAGAAGCACCGGCUAACUACGUG
rnacentral:rRNA from 1 species